GGGCUGCUGGUCCAACCUGGUACGACACCUGGUUUGCACCCAGGAAAUCGGGGUUCAACUCCCCGGCGGUCCA
rnacentral:tRNA from 1 species